rnacentral:lncRNA from 1 species
AGUGACUCGUCAGUGCAGCCUGGUGAUGGGUUGUUCGCAAACGAACAGCUCUUUUUGAACGGAUCGCAUCGGUGAGAGAGCCGUUCAUUUGGCUCUCUAAUUUGCAUACUGAACUGAUUGCGCCCUCCGGUUCUCCCUCAGCGCCUUCCAGUUUACCUCUAACCCAGACACACCGGUAAUCUUUUCAUCUCCUCCUGGUCUUCCUUCACUGCAUGUGACAUCAGAGGACCACGGCCCCAUGCACAACUCAUGCACCUACCGAGCGAACAGGUACGCUGACGUAAGGUAAAUGUUGCACUCUGGGAAAUGUACAUUCUGCCCUUUACAUCUGUACAUACCUUUCAUGCACUAACAUUUGCCUUUUCUUACUAGCACUGACUUUGGUGAUGGCUGCUGUAUUGAGGGACGUUUUACUUACUAUGACUGUGAGAUGUGGUUGUCAUACCUAUAAACCCUAAGAUGAAUGCACUAACUGUAAGUCGCUCUGGAUGAGUGUCUGCUAAAUUAUGAAAAUGUAAAUGUAAGUCUCUGACUCCCCUUCUGUAUGUGGAGAUCCCUCAUGGAAGAGGAUUCCAUAUGUGACUGCUGUGACUCUGUCACGU